rnacentral:rRNA from 1 species
GUUGAACGCUGGCGGCACGCCUAACACAUGCAAGUCGAGCGGCAGCAUGCUUAGUAGCAAUACUAAGUGAUGGCGAGCGGCGGACGGGUGAGGAACACGUAGGAACCUGCCCAAGAGAGGGGGAUAACUAAGGGAAACUUUAGCUAAUACCGCAUAAACUCUGAGGAGAAAAGUUGCCUGUAAGGGUAGCGCUUUUGGAGGGGCCUGCGUCCGAUUAGUUAGUUGGUGAGGUAAAGGCUCACCAAGACGAUGAUCGGUAACUGGUCUGAGAGGACGACCAGUCACACUGGGACUGAGACACGGCCCAGACUCCUACGGGAGGCAGCAGUGGGGAAUCUUGGACAAUGGGGGCAACCCUGAUCCAGCGAUGCCGCGUGGGUGAAGAAGGCCUUCGGGUUGUAAAGCCCUUUAGGCGGGGAAGAAGGAUGUGGGCUGAAUAAGUCUGUAUUUUGACGGUACCCGCAGAAUAAGCACCGGCAAACUCUGUGCCAGCCGCCGCGGUAA